CAUAUCCUUUUCCUUUCCUGUGCUAGUUCCCUUUGCUACAGUUUUUUUUUUCAUGUAGUUUUAGUCCACCAGAAGGGUAUAUUUUUAUUGGGUUUCUCUUUCUAGCUUUCAGGACAGCUAGGUGAGCAGCUGUGGCAGGCGCAGGCUGGAGCUGGAGCAGUCUGUCAGGACUACCAGGUAGCUAGGAGUAUCCCUAACAAGCUAAUAAUGUUGACCAGACUGGAGUAGGUGCUUUAAUUAGGAGUCUAUAUACCUGCCUUGGGAUCACCUGCUUAGACCCUUGCUUGUGGAUUGGCUGGACACUUAGGACUUGCAGGGUUAGAGCAUAUUCCAAAAUAUGUGGAAGAGUUGCUGACACUGGAGAGAUUUGUUGGGACAUGUACCAAAUCUGGAACCUGGACCAUUUCUGUCGGUAAGUGUGUUGUGUGGAGGACUUUCUACUGUGCAGUAGAACCUCCUGUGCUUCCUUUGAACAGGAGCUCUCUAGGUGCUGGAACCACGUAGGAUCCAUGCUUUGAGGUGGAGGAUCCCCAGGUUGGGAUGCAUGGUAUACUCUUUGUCCUGAGAGAGAUGGUUCGGAGUGGCCGGAAUGGAGAUCCGUGGGCACGUCGUGAGCUGCAUCAGGUAAGGGUACCAGGUCUGUCUUGGCCACGUGGGAGCAAUCAAAAUUACAUAAGCUCCAUCCCUCUUUAUCUUUAAUAGGACCUUCAGCAGAAGAAGAAACAGAGGGAAGGCAUAAAGAAGGCCCUUGUCCCAUGGGAGGAGGAAAGCAUUGCCCAGAGAGUGCUGUCUGAUCCACACCCUGGGACAGUAUCAUGGACACUUCUUGUUCUGAUUUCCAGUGAUUUGAGGGUGGCCCUGAAAUCCUUCAAGAAGGCACCUUCUCAACAAAGAGCUUCACACCUUCAAAGGGAAGGUCCUCCACUAUGGUCUGCAUGUUCUUUGGGAAUCCCAAGCCAUGAUGCCUGUCUCAUCACCACAGCCAUGGAGAUGGUCCUGGCAGUCCUGUCGGCAGUGUUGAGGGCCGACUGCCGUGAUGCUUUUGCCACCAGUUGCCCCUUCUGGAUGAUGGCCUUGAAGGAGUCAUGGAGCUCUCCGGCAGUUUAUCAAUAAAGUCAUUUACCUUAUUAUAAUUUGUGCAGUUAUAUUUAGCCAUGAGCACCUUGUAGUUGGCAAUA